CCUACGGGUGGCAGCAGUGGGGAAUAUUGGACAAUGGGGGCAACCCUGAUCCAGCCAUGCCGCGUGUGUGAAGAAGGCCCUCGGGUUGUAAAGCACUUUCAGUGAGGAAGAACGCCUGGUGGUUAAUACCCAUCAGGAAAGACAUCACUCACAGAAGAAGCACCGGCUAACUCCGUGCCAGCAGCCGCGGUAAUACGGAGGGUGCGAGCGUUAAUCGGAAUUACUGGGCGUAAAGCGCGCGUAGGUGGCUUGAUAAGCCGGUUGUGAAAGCCCCGGGCUCAACCUGGGAACGGCAUCCGGAACUGUCAAGCUAGAGUGCAGGAGAGGAUGGUAGAAUUCCCGGUGUAGCGGUGAAAUGCGUAGAGAUCGGGAGGAAUACCAGUGGCGAAGGCGGCCUUCUGGACUGACACUGACACUGAGGUGCGAAAGCGUGGGUAGCAAACAGGAUUAGAUACCCGUGUAGUC
rnacentral:rRNA from 1 species